rnacentral:rRNA from 1 species
UACGUAGGGUCCAAGCGUUAAUCGGAAUUACUGGGCGUAAAGCGUGCGCAGGCGGUUUUGUAAGACGGAUGGGAAAUCCCCGGGCUCAACCUGGGAACUGCAUUCGUGACUGCAAGGCUAGAGUGUGUCAGAGGGAGGUGGAAUUCCGCGUGUAGCAGUGAAAUGCGUAGAGAUGCGGAGGAACACCGAUGGCGAAGGCAGCCUCCUGGGAUAACACUGACGCUGAGGUGCGAGAGCGUGGGGAGCGAACCGG